UACGGAGGGUGCGAGCGUGGUCCGGAUUUAUUGGGUUUAAAGGGUGCGUAGGUGGCUGUUUAAGUCAGUGGUGAAAUACGGUUGCUCAACAAUCGAGGUGCCAUUGAUACUGAAUAGCUUGAAAUAAUUGGAGGCUGCCGGAAUGGAUGGUGUAGCGGUGAAAUGCAUAGAUAUCAUCCAGAACACCGAUUGCGAAGGCAGGUGGCUACGAUUUGUUUGACACUGAGGCACGAAAGCAUGGGGAGCAAACAGG
rnacentral:rRNA from 1 species